rnacentral:rRNA from 1 species
AUUGAACGCUGGCGGCAUGCCUUACACAUGCAAGUCGAACGGUAACAGGUCUCCGGAUGCUGACGAGUGGCGAACGGGUGAGUAAUACAUCGAAACGUGCCUAGUAGUGGGGGAUAACUACUCGAAAGAGUGGCUAAUACCGCAUGAGAUCUACGGAUGAAAGCAGGGGAUCGCAAGACCUUGUGCUACUAGAGCGGCCGAUGGCAGAUUAGGUAGUUGAUGGGAUACAAGCUUACCAAGCCGACGAUCUGUAGCUGGUCUGAGAGGACGAUCAGCCACACUGGGACUGAGACACCGCCCAGACUCCUACGGGAGGCAGCAGUGGGGAAUUUUGGACAAUGGGCGAAAGCCUGAUCCAGCAAUGCCGCGUGCAGGAUGAAGGCCUUCGGGUUGUAAACUGCUUUUGUACGGAACGAAAAGCCCCGGGUUAAUACCCUGGGGUCAUGACGGUACCGUGAGAAUAAGCACCGGCUAACUACGUGCCAGCCGCCGCGGUAA